rnacentral:rRNA from 1 species
UACGAAGGGAGCUAGCGUUGUUCGGAAUCACUGGGCGUAAAGCGCACGUAGGCGGCUGUGUCAGUCAGGGGUGAAAUCCCGGAGCUCAACUUCGGAACUGCCUUUGAUACAGCACAUCUGGAGUCCGGAAGAGGUGGGUGGAAUUCCUAGUGUAGAGGUGAAAUUCGUAGAUAUUAGGAAGAACGCCGGUGGCGAAGGCGGCCCACUGGUCCGGUACUGACGCUGAGGUGCGAAAGCGUGGGGAGCAAACAGG